AGUGGAGGACGGGUGAGUAACGCGUGGGUAACCUGCCUUAUACAGGGGGAUAACAGUUGGAAACGACUGCUAAUACCGCAUAAGCGCACAGUGCCGCAUGGCACAGUGUGAAAAACUCCGGUGGUAUAAGAUGGACCCGCGUCUGAUUAGCUAGUUGGUGAGGUAACGGCUCACCAAGGCGACGAUCAGUAGCCGGCUUGAGAGAGUGAUCGGCCACAUUGGGACUGAGACACGGCCCAAACUCCUACGGGAGGCAGCAGUGGGGAAUAUUGCACAAUGGGGGAAACCCUGAUGCAGCAACGCCGCGUGAGUGAAGAAGUAUUUCGGUAUGUAAAGCUCUAUCAGCAGGGAAGAUAAUGACGGUACCUGACUAAGAAGCCCCGGCUAACUACGUGCCAGCAGCCGCGGUAAUACGUAGGGGGCAAGCGUUAUCCGGAUUUACUGGGUGUAAAGGGAGCGUAGGCGGCUUGGCAAGUCUGAUGUGAAAGCCCAGGGCUCAACCCUGGGACUGCACUGGAAACUGUCAGGCUAGAGUGCAGGAGAGGUAAGUGGAAUUCCUAGUGUAGCGGUGAAAUGCGUAGAUAUUAGGAGGAACACCAGUGGCGAAGGCGGCUUACUGGACUGUAACUGACGCUGAGGCUCGAAAAGCGUGGGGAGCAAACAGGAUUAGAUACUCUGGUAGUCCACGCUGUAAACGAUGAAUACUAGGUGU
rnacentral:rRNA from 1 species